CCUACGGGAGGCAGCAGUGAGGAAUAUUGGUCAAUGGGCUUACGCCUGAACCAGCCAAGUCGCGUGAGGGAAGACUGCCCUAUGGGUUGUAAACCUCUUUUGUCAGGGAGCAACGCCGGCUACGUGUAGCCGGACUGAGAGUACCUGAAGAAAAAGCAUCGGCUAACUCCGUGCCAGCAGCCGCGGUAAUACGGAGGAUGCGAGCGUUAUCCGGAUUUAUUGGGUUUAAAGGGUGCGCAGGCGGGAGAUCAAGUCAGCGGUAAAAUGUCGGGGCUCAACCCCGGCCGGCCGUUGAAACUGGUGUGCUAGAGUUGGAGAGAAGUAUGCGGAAUUCGUGGUGUAGCGGUGAAAUGCAUAGAUAACACGAAGAACCCGGAUUGCGAAGGCAGUAUACCGGCUCCAUACUGCCGCUGGGGCACGAAAGCGUGGGGAUGGAACAGGAUUAGAUACCUUUGGAGUC
rnacentral:rRNA from 1 species